rnacentral:rRNA from 1 species
CCUACGGGUGGCAGCAGUAGGGAAUUUUUCACAAUGGGCGAAAGCCUGAUGGAGCAACGCAGCGUGAAUGAUGAAGGUCUUCUAGAUUGUAAAAUUCUUUUAUUUGGGAAGAAAAACUAAAGUAGGAAAUGACUUUAGUCUGACUGUACAAUUUGAAUAAGUAUCGGCUAACUAUGUGCCAGCAGACGUGGUAAUACAUAGGAUGCAAGCGUUAUCCGGAUUUACUGGGCGUAAAACGAGCGCAGGCGGGUUAACAAGUUUGGUAUGAAAGGCUUUUGCUUAACGAAAGUUUGUAUCAGAAACUGGUAAUCUAGAGUGUAGUAGAGAGAACUGGAAUUCCAUGUGGAGCGGUGGAAUGCGGAGAUAUAUGGAAGAACACCAGUGGCGAAGGCGAGAACUUAGGCUAUCACUGACGCUGAGGCUCGAAAGUGUGGGGAGCAAAUAGGAUUAGAUACCCCGGUAGUC